GACGAACGCUGGCGGCGUGCUUAACACAUUCAAGUCGAACGGAAAGUCCCUGCUUUUGUGGGUUGCUCUAGUGGCGAACGGGUGAGUAACACGUGAGUAACCUGCCCUUGACUUCGGGAUAACUUCAGGAAACUGGGGCUAAUACCGCAUAGGAGCUCCUGCUGCAUGGUGGGGGUUGGAAAGUUUCGUCGGUUGGGGAUGGACUCGCGGCUUAUCAGCUUGUUGGUGGGGUAGUGGCUUACCAAGGCUUUGACGGGUAGCCGGCCUGAGAGGGUGACAGGCCACAUUGGGACGGAGAUACGCACCAGACUCAUACGGGAGGCAGCAGUGGGGAAUAUUGCACGAUGGGCGGAAGUCUGAUGCAGCACUGCAGCGCGCGGGAUGAAGGUCUUCGGGUUGUAAACCGCUUUCGGCUGUGACGAAGAGUGAGUGACGGUAAUGGGUAAAGAAGCCCCGGCUAACUACGUG
rnacentral:rRNA from 1 species